GAUGAACGCUGGCGGCGUGCCUAAUACAUGCAAGUCGAGCGAACGGACAAGAAGCUCGCUCUUUUGAUGUUAGCGGCGGACGGGCGAGUAACACGUGGAUAACCAACCUAUAUGACUGGGAUAACUUCGGGAAACCGGUGCUAAUACCGCAGAAUAUUUUGAACCGCAGGGUUCAAAAGUGAAAGACGGUCUUCCUGUCACAUAUAGACGGAUCCGCGCUGCAUUAUCGAGUUGGUAAGGUAACGGCCCACCAAGGCGACGAUGCGUAGCCGGUCUGAGAGGGUGAUCAGCCACACUGGAACGGUGCCACGGUCCAGACUCCUACGGGAGGCAGCAGUGGGGAAUAUUGGACAAUGGGCGAAAGCCUGAUCCAGCCAUACCGAGUGGGUGAAGAAGGCCUUCGGGUUGUAAAGCCCUUUUGUUGGGAAAGAAAAGCAGCAGGUUAAUACCCCGCUGUUCUGACGGUACCCAAAGAUUAAGCACCGGCUAACUUCGUG
rnacentral:rRNA from 1 species